rnacentral:pre_miRNA from 1 species
CAACCUCCACAGGCUGGUCGAGCCCCAGGGUUGGCUGGGAGAUUAUCUAUUGCAAAGGCUCACCUUUAGCAUGACUAGGAGC